rnacentral:rRNA from 1 species
GACGAACGCUGGCGGCGUGCCUAAUACAUGCAAGUAGAACGCUGAAGGAGGAGCUUGCUCUUCUGGAUGAGUUGCGAACGGGUGAGUAACGCGUAGGUAACCUGCCUGGUAGCGGGGGAUAACUAUUGGAAACGAUAGCUAAUACCGCAUAACAGUAGAUGUUGCAUGACAUUUACUUAAAAGGUGCAAUUGCAUCACUACCAGAUGGACCUGCGUUGUAUUAGCUAGUUGGUGGGGUAACGGCUCACCAAGGCGACGAUACAUAGCCGACCUGAGAGGGGGAUCGGCCACACUGGGACUGAGACACGGCCCAGACUCCUACGGGAGGCAGCAGUAGGGAAUCUUCGGCAAUGGACGGGAGUCUGACCGAGCAACGCCGCGUGAGUGAAGAAGGGUUUCGGAUCGUAAAGCUCUGUUGUAAGAGAAGAACGAGUGUGAGAGUGGAAAGUUCACACUGUGACGGUAUCUUACCAGAAAGGGACGGCUAACUACGUG